CUGCGAAUGGGCCUUCCUGAAGAGCUGGUGCUGUGGUGAGGGCGUUUCUUCGCAUGAAGGUGCUCAUCAUCUGUACCGGCAGCAAAUAUGAUAUGAACUAGUUAAUGACCCAGAUGGUUGGCUGAGUGUGGAUGAGAGCUCAGUUAUUAUUACUGUGGCAAAAGAAUCAAGAAUCCCCCUUCUUGCACAACAACAUGUAUACCAUUAUUGUUCAUGCUACAAAUCAUGGGCAGUCAGUUGAACUUUUGAUGUUAAGAAGCCUCCCACAAGGCAGCUACUUGGUGCUCAUCAUUAUUCAGGACA